CAGUCGCCACGGUAAUGCGUAGGGUGCGAGCGUUAAUCGGAAUUACUGGGCGUAAAGCGUGCGCAGGCGGUUGUGUAAGACAGGUGUGAAAUCCCCGGGCUUAACCUGGGAACUGCGCUUGUGACUGCACAGCUAGAGUAUGGCAGAGGGGGGUGGAAUUCCACGUGUAGCAGUGAAAUGCGUAGAGAUGUGGAGGAACACCGAUGGCGAAGGCAGCCCCCUGGGCCAAUACUGACGCUGAGGCACGAAAGCGUGGGGAGCAAACAGGAUUAGAUACCCCUGUAGUCCCUGUCUCUUAUAA
rnacentral:rRNA from 1 species